CCCCUUUCCCCUCCGUCUCUCUGAGUGAGCUGGUCUCGUGUCUGCAGUGCUGCUCAGCGUUUUCCUUGAAGGUUAAAACGCAGUAAAAAGGCCCAACUGCAGCCAUGACUGUUCAAACAGCUCAAGAGUGUGUGUUUCACCUGAAAGGGAGUCUGAGCCCACAAGGCCAUCGCAGGUCUCCUCGUCUGGGAGAUUUCUUGAAACAUGAUGGCUGAGAGUGUGGAAAAUGGAGAAAAAAGGUUCUGUCUCAGCCUGAUGACCUCGGAUAUAGUUGAGGCUGCUUCAAAGGCAAUGAGCUGGUGAAGGCUGAUCUGAAAUGUGGUUCCUGCAGUGCAGCGUCACCUCUUCAGAAGACUCUUAUUUCUUGAAACAUGAUGGCUGAGUGUGGAAAAUAGAGAAAAAAAGUGAUCUGCCAGCGUGCAGCGAAUGACAUCGACUUUGCUAAGGUUCUGUCUCAGCCUGAUGACCUCAGAUAUAGUUGAGGCUGCGUGAAAGGAGCUUGUGUUUCACCUGAAAGGGAGUCUGAGCCCACAAGGCCAUCGCAGGUCUCCUCAUCUGGGAGAUUUCUUGAAACAGGAUGGAGAGUGUGGAAAAUGAAGAAAAAAAAGGUUCUGUCUCAGCCUGAUGACCUUGCAUAUAGUUGAGGCUGCUUCAAAGGCAAUGAGCUGGUGAAGGCUGAUCUGAAAUGUGGUUCCUGCAGUGCAGCGUCACCUCUUCAGAAGACUCUUAUCUUCUCAGACUGACUAUCUUGCAUAUGUUGAGGCUGCUUUAAAGGACUGGAUCAAGUUGGAGACCUUGCUUCAGUGUCUGCAUACACAAUGUGGUGGUGAAACAUGGUUUCUGCAGACUGAACUACUGCAACUCCUUCCUGCCUCACGUGAAGAGCUGCAGAGUGCAGCAGUUUGACUUUGUACGCCCAGACUUGGUCACAGACGUCAGGAAGUUAAACGUCCAUUCAAUGCAUUAUAUCUGACAAAUUUAUUUAUAAAUGUUUUAGUUGCCUGGUGGAAUAUUUAAAUCUACAGUGCUUGUGUUGAGAGAAUAAAUACAAAUUGAAAAA